CCUACGGGAGGCAGCAGUGAGGAAUAUUGGUCAAUGGACGAGAGUCUGAACCAGCCAAGUAGCGUGAAGGAUGACUGCCCUAUGGGUUGUAAACUUCUUUUAUAUGGGAAUAAAACGUUCCACGUGUGGGAUUUUGUAUGUACCAUAUGAAUAAGGAUCGGCUAACUCCGUGCCAGCAGCCGCGGUAAUACGGAGGAUGCGAGCGUUAUCCGGAUUUAUUGGGUUUAAAGGGUGCGUAGGCGGGCUUUUAAGUCAGCGGUAAAAAUUCGGGGCUCAACCGUAAAAUUGCAGUUGAAACUGGCAGUCUUGAGUACAGUAGAGGUGGGCGGAAUUCGUGGUGUAGCGGUGAAAUGCUUAGAUAUCACGAAGAACUCCGAUUGCGAAGGCAGUUCACUGGACUGCAACUGACACUGAGGCUCGAAAGUGUGGGUAUCAAACAGGAUUAGAUACCCUUGUAGUC
rnacentral:rRNA from 1 species